CGCUGGCGGCACGCCUAACACAUGCAAGUCGAACGCAGUAGCAAUACUGAGUGGCAAACGGGUGAGUAUAAUGUGGGAAUCUGCCUUUUGGUUUGGAAUAACACGGGGAAACUUGUGCUAAUACCGAAUAAGCCCUUACGGGGAAAGUUUUAAUGCCGAAAGAUGAGCCCGCACUUGAUUAGCUAGUUGGUAAGGUAAAAGCUUACCAAGGCAACGAUCAAUAGCUGUUCUUAGAGGAAGACCAGCCACAUUGGGACUGAGACACGGCCCAGACUCCUACGGGAGGCAGCAGUGGGGAAUCUUGCACAAUGGGGGAAACCCUGAUGCAGCGAUGCCGCGUGAGUGAAGAAGGCCUUUGGGUUGUAAAACUCUUUCGUCGGGGAAGAAAAUGACUGUACCCGAAUAAGAAGGUCCGGC
rnacentral:rRNA from 1 species